rnacentral:rRNA from 1 species
GACGAACGCUGGCGGCGUGCUUAAUACAUGCAAGUCGAACGGAAAGGCCCGGCGUUUGUGGGGUGCUCGAGUGGCGAACGGGGGAGAAAAACGUGAGGGAACUGUCCUUGAAUGAGGGGGAAAACUAGGAAACAGGGGCGAAAACCGGAUAGGAGCUCCUGCUGCAUGGUGGGGGAUGGAAAGAUUCGGUGGUGGGGGCAGGUAUCGCGGGGUAUCAGCUAGUUGGUAGGGUAGUGAAGUACCAAGGUUACGAUGGGGAGCCGACCUGAGAGGGGGAUCGGCCACACUGGAACUGAGACACGGUCCAUACUCCUACGGGAGGCAGCAGUAGGGAAUCGUCCGCAAUGGGCGAAAGCCUGACGGAGCAACGCCGCGUGAGUGAUGAAGGUCUUCGGAUCGUAAAACUCUGUUAUUAGGGAAGAACAUACGUGUAAGUAACUGUGCACGUCUUGACGGUACCUAAUCAGAAAGCCACGGCUAACUACGUG